AGCUCCAAUAGCGUAUAUUAAAGUUGUUGCAGUUAGAACGCUCGUAGUCGGAUUUCGGGGCAGUCCGACCGGUCUGCCGAUGGGUAUGCACUGGCCGGAGUGUCCUUUUUGCCGGAGACCGUGCCUACUCUUAACUGAGCGGGGGCGGGAGACGGCACUUUUACUUUGAAAAAAUCAGAGUGUUUCAAGCAGGCAGCUCGCUCUUGCAUGGAUUAGCAUGGGAUAAUGAAAUAGGACUUUGGUGCUAUUUUGUUGGUUUCGAACACCGAAGUAAUGAUGAGAAGGGACAGUCAGGGGCACUCGUAUUCCGCAGAGAGAGGUGAAAUUCUCAGACCCGCGGAAGACGAACCACUGCGAAAGCAUUUGCCAGGGAUGUUUUCACUG
rnacentral:rRNA from 2 species